GACGAACGCUGGCGGCGUGCUUAACACAUGCAAGUCGAACGGAAAGGCCUCUUUCGGGGGGUACUCGAGUGGCGAACGGGUGAGUAACACGUGAGUAACCUGCCCUUGACUUUGGGAUAACUUCAGGAAACUGGGGCUAAUACCGGAUAGGAGCUCCUGCUGCAUGGUGGGGGUUGGAAAGUUUCGGCGGUUGGGGAUGGACUCGCGGCUUAUCAGCUUGUUGGUGGGGUAGUGGCUUACCAAGGCUUUGACGGGUAGCCGGCCUGAGAGGGUGACCGGCCACAUUGGGACUGAGAUACGGCCCAGACUCCUACGGGAGGCAGCAGUGGGGAAGAUUGCACAAGGGGUGGAAGCCUGAUGCAGCAACGCCGUGUGCGGGAGGAUGGCCUUCGGGUUGGAAACCGCUUUCGCUCAUGACGAAGCUUUGUGUGACGGUAGUGGGUAAAGAAGCACCGGCUAACUACGUG
rnacentral:rRNA from 1 species